UCAUUGGGAGCAGGAGGCUGAGGCUGUGCCCACCUCCACUGGGAAGGAGGGCUCUGGCCACCUCUCUAGAAGAUAGAACAAGCAGAGACAUGACGCUAGGAACAGCUCCCGCGACCUCUGGGCCACGAGGACACGGGACCCCGCUUGAGUCAAAGGCGCAGACAACAGACAUGAGCUCCUUGCCUUUGAGGACUGGUUUCCUGCUUGACCGUGAGAGCUGCCACCACUGUGAAUCAGGCGCACCUACGUUCUUUCUCCGUGGGACUGGCUUCUGGGUAUUUGGCCAUACGAUCUGCUGGGAAAGGGGAGGAUCCAGUCCCUCCUGGUCCGAAUGAGCCAGACACCAACAUGGAGAAAGUGACAGGCCGGCUCCAGGCAUAAUCCCCACCUGCAGCAUUUCCAGCCCCAAAUCCUCUUCUUGCCUCAGUUAUCACCUCACUCGGUACCACCCCUCCUGGCCCUGACUGAUGACCUGCUCUGGACCCACUUUUCUGCCAAAUGCUCUGCCUCUGCUGAGCAUUUCAGGGAUCCAGCCUCUGGCCCCACACAUCAUCAUCUUAGAAGCAAAUGCUUCCUUGGACCCACUCUGUGCUAGAUGUUCUUGCAAGACUAUUUGUCUCAUGUUA